rnacentral:rRNA from 1 species
UACGGAGGGUGCAAGCGUUAUCCGGAUUCAUUGGGUUUAAAGGGUCCGUAGGCGGAUCUUUAAGUCAGUGGUGAAAGCCUGCAGCUCAACUGCAGAACUGCCAUUGAUACUGGAGAUCUUGAGUGUAUUUGAAGUGGGCGGAAUGUGUCAUGUAGCGGUGAAAUGCAUAGAUAUGACACAGAACACCGAUUGCGAAGGCAGCUCACUAAACUACAACUGACGCUGAGGGACGAAAGCGUGGGGAGCGAACAGG